rnacentral:rRNA from 1 species
AGAUGCGAUCAUACCAGCACUAAUGCACCGGAUCCCAUCAGAACUCCGCACUUAAGUGUGCUUGGGCGAGAGUAGUACUAGGAUGGGUGACCUCCUGGAAAGUCCUCGUGUUGCAUCCC